UUCUUGGAGCUCUGCUUGCUUCUUCAAGGACUUGGGGGAUAGAUACCAAAUCACAGCAUGGUGGAGGAUAAUCAGAGAAGAUUCCCUACCAGGAUCAACUCAGCCUGGGAAGACAUCCAGGAACUGUGUUGGAAAGAAGGAAAAUGCUAUUCUUGUCCUCCUUAAGAACACGGAUGCCCCAUGUGCCUACAGUCCAGUGAGGAAGGCAUGCUGGUCAGCUGCCAGGUACGAUUCAGUGUGGAUUGUACAGGUAUGGAAGGCACGAAGUGGUUGCCCUUCUCUUUGAGUGGUGUAGAGUGAUGGGAUUAUUUCAAGGAGAAAGUAGAUAAAGGUGAGAAGGGUUUGAAAGCGGAUGAGGAGGUUGCCAGGUGGGCGUAAAUAUUCUUCCAACACAGCAUGCUGUCUCCGCAUCAGCGCCUUUGCACUUGCUAUCUGCUCUGUCUGGGAUCCUUAUUCCCCAGACCUCUAAGUGUCAGUCUCCUCCUCAUUCAGAUCUCAGUUCAAAUCCCACCUCCCAGAGAGGCCUUUCCUGCCGCCUUACCUAACAUGUCUCCUUCCCCAUCCCUUGCUGUCAUAUUUUCUGUUUCCUUUACAAAGCUCACCAUUCUGUGAAAUUACAUUAUUUAUUUGUUCUGUUUCUUGUUCAUUGUCUAUUUCUCAAAUGAGUACAAACAUAAACUCUGUUACAACAAGAACCUUGCCGAGUUUAUUCACUGUUGUAGUCCUGGCACCUAGAACAAUUCCAGACACCUACUGGACAAUUAAUAACUCUUCUAGGCAAAGAUUCAUGAAACUGCAUGGUUCAUUAAAAUAAACAAAGCAGAUUACAAAAUUGCACACAAUGUCAGAAGGCAAAAUGGUAGACAAAGAUGCCAAGUAAAGAAAAAAUAGAGCAGAAAAAUAAAACCACCACCCAGAUAGCUCCAGGGAGGGAUGUGGUGUAGAGACAUGCCUAAGAAAGAAGUUGUAGUUUGUUUGCUGUGGGAUGAGUACUGCAAGUCCCCUACUCUCACCCCUCCCCUUUAAAUGUUUAGUUGUCUUCCUAGCUCACUAAAAUAAAUAAAUAAACUUUAAAAACAUGAAGUCAGCAGUAGGAUUAGCGUUUGCACAUCAUAUGCCUUAACAUCUUGUUAGAGGUGGGUAGUAAAUUUGGCUCUGAGCUUCCUAACAGACAAAACAAGAGGGAAAAAUGAAAUGUGAUAACUUUCAAACCUCCGUGUCUAUGAGAUUAACCUAAAGUGACUGCUCAAAGAAAACUUAGUUUUUCCUGGGCCUGAAACCUGAGAGUUGGUCCUGCCAAGGAGAAAAUGUUAUGAUGUAGUAUCCUCGACAGCAUCCCUUCAGUAUAUUCAGAAGAGAGGUUCAUUAUAGCAUCUUUUCUCAUAGCAGGCUGAUGACCUCAUGCCCAAGUAUAAUUUAGUAAAAGCCUUUCUACAAGCAGACAGACUAUGCUCUCUAAGCUUGCCUCUUUUGAAUGAUCUGACCUGAAUGAGAUGGAGAAUGUCUUACAAAAUUGGAAGGACUACGUGUCCUUCAGAUAGUCUUCUGUUUCUUUCAAAUGAGUUCACACUAAGACUUCGGUGGUAAGGAGAACAAGGUAGCCUCCUCUUCCUGGAAUGUGGGGUGAUAUAUCAUGUUGCCCGUUGGGGCUAAUUUCCUGUUCAGCUGUGCACAGGGUGGAGUGGGCACCUGCCUUUGAAAAUUGAGAUCCUGGAGGAAUCUGAAGAGAGAACCAGUCACCCACUUCUCUACCUGGAAUGGCAGACGUUCUCCUUUGCAAAUAGUUUUUGCUCUGUUCCAGCCCACAUGUAAAUGGAUCAUCAGGCACCAAAGCUGGAAACCUAUAAUCAGCAUUCUUCAAAGAGGGGCUCAAGGAUUCCUGUCUCAGACCACCCAAAGCACUUGCUAUACCUGAAGACGCCUGGCUCUGGACUCACACGGUCUGAACUGCUUGGGGUAGACCAGAGUGUCUGCAUGCUUACCAAAGUUUCCAGAUGAUUCUCCAGCCCACAGAGUGCUGAUGUGAAGGACAAUAUUUGCAAUAUUUUUGUUUUUCAUAAAGGCCCCUAACAGUCAGGGCUUUAAAGUUCAAAAAGCACUCCCCCUGUACCUGAUCUUCACAAAGCCCCUGCAGAGAGUGAAAGCAGCUUCUCCCAUUGGAGAAGAGGACUUAGUGAGAAUUGAAGUGCUUGUGUCUUUCCUAAAGGAAACACCCAGCACAGGGUAGGGCCAGGAUUAGGCCCAACUCUACAUAGCACGAAUGGUGGUUCAGAUCUGGGCUCUGAAGCAGCAUGCCCAGAUCCAACUCCUGGGUCCCUACCCAUGGCUGGUGAAUGUGGACAAGUCCUUUACUGGGCCUCUGCCACCUCCUCUUGGUGUGCACAGGGUUUCUUGAGGAUCAAAAGGAGGAUUGUGUUGAAAGCACUUAGAAUCAUGGUGGCAUAAGGCAAGCACGUGAUGAAUGUUGGUUUCCACUAUUACUGGGUAGAAUACAGCUGCAAUACAAGACAUGCAAAGGCUUUUGAAGAAAUGUAAAUGACCCACUCAGGGUGGGUGUUUAUCCCAGUCUCACCUGGAGAAAAUAUAGUCAACAUGGGAGCCAGUUGGUGUUAUGAUGCAUGACAGACCAAAUUCUGGGGUCAGCAAAUAGAGAGCUGUCCAAUAGAAUUGUCUAAGUGGCAGCAAGGAUCUAACCCUGCACAGUCCAGUGGGGUAGCCACUAGCCACAGGUGGUCAUUGAGCCCCCAAAAUUAGCUGAUGUGACUAAGG